rnacentral:lncRNA from 1 species
UUUUCCGUCGGUGGGUACUCCGCAAUGCAAUGACGAAGGGAAGCUCGGUUUGUCAUGGCAUGUACAGGUAGAUGGGCGAAAAAAUCAAACAUUUCUUCAUCCUCUCUCAUCUGGCCUAAUAACACAUCUAUACCUUCUAUAGGACGAUGAAUCAUUUUCGUAUAUGAUAUUCCCGUUACUUGAUAACCAGGUAAGGUGAUAUCCAUCUCCAAAUCAUUAUUGGAACUAACAUCAGUUCCAUAACAUUCCACAACAUGAGAGAUGUCUCGCCAUGCCAUAAAAACAUGUAAUAAACAAAGAAAAUUAAGAAAAAUGAGUAAGUAUGUGUUUUAAUAUAUUUUACACAAAACAACAAAUCUAUUUUUCCUAUGAACUUAAAAAAAAAAAAAAACAAGGUCGUUUUCAAUCAAACAUUCCAAACGAAUAAUUUGAAGAACAUCUAACGUGAAUAAGAAAGGUAGGUAGGUCAUUUCUCCAUAAAUAUCGAACCGUAAGAAAUUGCAGCAAGCGCGAAGAUGAUCUUGUUAAGAAGAAUGUUAAGCAAUCAUCAUAAUUCAAGAAAGAUAUUCAGAAUCGAAAGAAGGUUUAAGAUUACCUCAAAUCGGAGAAUUAGAUGCAGCAGCUAGCUAGCGAUCUGAAUGUUUGCAGAAACAUGAAAACUAUUAUUAUUUAUUAUUAGACGACUUAACUAAGAGUACAUAACCAAACAAGCUACAUCACAACACAACACACAAACCACUAACCAUCUUUGACAGAUAUAACAUAAAUAACCAAAUACAAAUUCCAACAAACCAUAAUACAUAAAUCAUACGGGAACAGACGGGACAAGAAGGUUAAGCAUAGUUUUUCCAAAUCCAGUUAAGAAUGCAUGUUCCAUGGAAGACAUGUUGGCAGCAUUGCAACCCAAGAAGAUCAUUGACCGGAGUGUCAGUGAUAUCGUCUAAGCAAAUACAACAUUCUGUGAAAACAAGCGCUACAGGUGGAUUUUCAUGCCAAUCUUUAUUGACCCACCUAUUAUCCUCUCUCAAAGGUUGUAUUGUGCCAAAAGCUUCAUUGCCUUCAACAAUGAAAGAGAUAAAGUUGUUGAAGUGAGUAUCAUCCACGUAAAUGGAGAGAACAGUUGCGGUAUCUUUCCAGUUCCAAUCUAAACCAUCAAACUGGUGGGGUAUGAUUCUUCUGUUUUCUGUCGGUGGGUACUCCGCAAUGCAAUGACGAAGGGAAGCUCGGUUUGUCAUGGCAUGUACAGGUAGAUGGGCGAAAAAAUCAAACAUUUCUUCAUCCCCUCUCAUCUGGCCUAAUAACACAUCUAUACCUUCUAUAGGACGAUGAAUCAUUCUCGUAAAUGAUAUUUCCGUUACUUGAUAACCAGGUAAGGUGAUAUCCAUCUCUAAAUCAUUAUUGGAACUAACAUCAGUUCCAUAACAUUCCACAACAUGAGAGAUGUCUCGCCAUGCCAUAAUAACCUGUAAUAAACAAUGAAAAUGAAGAAAAAUGAGUAAGUAUGUGUUUUAAUAUAUUUUACACAAAACAACAAAUCUAUUUUUCCUAUGAACUUAAAAAAAAAAACAAGGUCGUUUUUAAUCAAACAUUCCAAACGAAUAAUUUGAAGAAGAUCUAACGUGAACAAGAAAAGUAGGUAGGUCAUUUCCCCAUAAAUAUCGAACCGUAAGAAAUUGCAGCAAGCGCGAAGAUGCACUUGUUAAGAAGAUUGUUAAGCAAUCAUCAUAAUUCAAGAAAGAGAUUCAGAAUCGAAAGAAGGUUUAAGAUUACCUCAAAUCGGAGAAUUAGAUGCAGCAGCUAGCUAGCGAUCUGAAUGUUUGCAGAAACAUGAAAACUAUUAUUAUUUAUUAUUAGACGACUUAACUAAGAGUACAUAACCAAACAAGCUACAUCACAACACAUCACACAAACCACUUACCAUCUUUGACAGAUAUAACAUAAAUAACCAAAUACAAAUUCCAACAAACCAUAAUACAUAAAUCAUACGGGAACAGACGGGACAAGAAGGUUAAGCUUAGUUUUUCCAGACCCAGUUAAGAAUGCAUGUUCCAUGGAAGACAUGUUGGCAGCAUUGCAACCCAAGAAGAUCAUUGACCGGAGUGUCAGUGAUAUCGUCUAAGCAAAUACAACAUUCUGUGAAAACAAGCGCUACAUGUGGAUUUUCACGCCAUUCUUCAUUGACCCACCUAUUCUCCUCUCUCAGAAGUUGUAUUGUGCCAAAAGCUUCAUUGCCUUCAACAAUGAAAGGGAUAAAGUUGUUGAAGUGAGUAUCAUCCACGUAAUUGGAGAGAACAGUUGCGGUAUCAUUCCAAUUCCAAUCUAAAGCAUCAAACUGGUGGGGUAUGAUUCUUCUGUUUUCCGUCGGGGGUACUCCGCAAUGCAAUGACGAAGGGAAGCUCGGUUUGUCAUGGCAUGUACAGGUAGAUGGGCGAAAAAAUCAAACAUUUCUUCAUCCUUUCUCAUCUGGCCUAAUAACACAUCUAUACCUUCUAUUGGACGAUGAAUCGUUCUCGUAAAUGAUAUUCCCGUUACUUGAUGACCAGGUAAGGUGAUAUCCAUCUCCAAAUCAUUAUUGGAACUAACAUCAGUUCCAUAACAUUCCACAACAUGAGAGAUGUCUCGCCAUGCCAUAAAAACAUGUAAUAAACAAAGAAAAUUAAGAAAAAUGAGUAAGUAUGUGUUUUAAUAUAUUUUACACAAAACAACAAAUCUAUUUUUCCUAUGAACUUAAAAAAAAAAAAAAAACAAGGUCGUUUUCAAUCAAACAUUCUAAACGAAUAAUUUGAAGAACAUCUAACGUGAAUAAGAAAGGUAGGUAGGUCAUUUCUCCAUAAAUAUCGAACCGUAAGAAAUUGCAGCAAGCGCGAAGAUGAUCUUGUUAAGAAGAAUGUUAAGCAAUCAUCAUAAUUCAAGAAAGAUAUUCAGAAUCGAAAGAAGUUUAAAGAUUACCUCAAAUCGAAGAAUUAGAUGCAGCAGCUAGCUAGCGAUCUGAAUGUUUGCAGAAACAUGAAAACUAUUAUUAUUUAUUAUUAGACGACUUAACUAAGAGUACAUAACCAAACAAGCUACAUCACAACACAACACACAAACCACUAACCAUCUUUGACAGAUAUAACAUAAAUAACCAAAUACAAAUUCCAACAAACCAUAAUACAUAAAUCAUACGGGAACAGACGGGACAAGAAGGUUAAGCAUAGUUUUUCCAGACCCAGUUAAGAAUGCAUGUUCCAUGAAAGACAUGUUGGCAGCAUUGCAACCCAAGAAGAUCAUUGACCGGAGUGUCAGUGAUAUCGCCUAAGCAAAUACAACAUUCUGUGAAAACAAGCGCUACAUGUGGAUUUUCACGCCAUUCUUCAUUGACCCACCUAUUAUCCUCUCUCAGAAGUUGUAUUGUGCCAAAAGCUUCAUUGCCUUCAACAAUGAAACGGAGAAAGUUGUUGAAGUGAGUAUCAUCCACGUAAUUGGAGAGAACAGUUGCGGUAUCAUUCCAGUUCCAAUCUAAAGCAUCAAACUGGUGCUGUAUGAUUCUUCUGUUUUCCGUCGGUGGGUACUCCGCAAUGCAAUGACGAAGGGAAGCUCGAUUUGUCAUGGCAUGUACAGGUAGAUGGGCGAAAAAAUCAAACAUUUCUUCAUCCUCUCUCAUCUGGCCUAAUAACACAUCUAUACCUUCUAUAGGACAAUGAAUCGUUCUCGUAAAUGAUAUUCCCGUUACUUGAUAACCAGGUAAGGUGAUAUCCAUCUCCAAAUCAUUAUUGGAACUAACAUCAGUUCCAUAACACUCUACAACAUGAGAGAUGUCUCGCCAUGCCAUUAUAACCAGUAAUAAACAAAGAAAAUGAAGAAAAAUGAGUAAG